rnacentral:rRNA from 1 species
UACGUAGGGACCGAGCGUUGUCCGGAAUCAUUGGGCGUAAAGAGCGUGUAGGCGGCUAUUUAAGUCCUGCGUGAAAUCCUGCGGCUCAACCGCAGACGGUCGUGGGAAACUGGAUGGCUAGAGUGCGGGAGAGGAGAGUGGAAUUCCCGGUGUAGCGGUGAAAUGCGCAGAUAUCGGGAAGAACACCCGUGGCGAAGGCGGCUCUCUGGAACGCAACUGACGCUGAGUGAGCGAAAGCCAGGGGAGCAAACGGG